rnacentral:rRNA from 1 species
UACAGAGGGUGCAAGCGUUAAUCGGAAUUACUGGGCGUAAAGCGUGCGUAGACGGUUAGAUAAGUCGGAUGUGAAAGCCCCGGGCUCAACCUGGGAAUUGCAUUCGAGACUGCCUAGCUAGGAUGCGGAAGAGGGAAGCGGAAUUUCCGGUGUAGCGGUGAAAUGCGUAGAUAUCGGAAGGAACACCAGUGGCGAAAGCGGCUUCCUGGUCCAGCAUCGACGUUCAGGCACGAAAGCGUGGGGAGCAAACAGG